rnacentral:misc_RNA from 1 species
GAUGAAGAACGUAGUGAAAUGCGAUAAGUAAUGUGAAUUGCAGAAUUCAGUGAAUCAUCGAAUCUUUGAACGCACAUUGCGCCCUCUGGUAUUCCGGGGGGCAUGCCUGUUCGAGCGUCAUUAUAACCACUCAAGCUCUCGCUUGGUAUUGGGGCUCGCGGUUCCGCGGCCCCUAAAAUCAGUGGCGGUGCCUGUCGGCUCUACGCGUAGUAAUACUCCUCGCGAUUGAGUCCCUGUAGGUCUACUUGCCAGCAACCCCCAAUUUUUACAGGUUGACCUCGGAUCAGGUAGGGAUACCCGCUGAACUUAAGCAUAUCAAUAAGCGGAGGA